rnacentral:rRNA from 1 species
ACUUACGGCCAGACCUCCCUGAGCACGCCGAUCUCGUCUGAUCAACGAAGCUAAGCAGGGUCGGGCCCGGUUAGUACUUGGAUGGGAGACCGCCUGGGAAUACCAGGUGCUGUAAGCC